UUAAGCGACUAAGCGUACACGGUGGAUGCCCUGGCAGUCAGAGGCGAUGAAGGACGUGCUAAUCUGCGAUAAGCGUCGGUAAGGUGAUAUGAACCGUUAUAACCGGCGAUUUCCGAAUGGGGAAACCCAGUGUGAUUCGUCACACUAUCAUUAACUGAAUCCAUAGGUUAAUGAGGCGAACCGGGGGAACUGAAACAUCUAAGUACCCCGAGGAAAAGAAAUCAACCGAGAUUCCCCCAGUAGCGGCGAGCGAACGGGGAGCAGCCCAGAGCCUGAAUCAGUGUGUGUGUUAGUGGAAGCGUCUGGAAAGGCGCGCGAUACAGGGUGACAGCCCCGUACACAAAAAUGCACAUGCUGUGAGCUCGAUGAGUAGGGCGGGACACGUGGUAUCCUGUCUGAAUAUGGGGGGACCAUCCUCCAAGGCUAAAUACUCCUGACUGACCGAUAGUGAACCAGUACCGUGAGGGAAAGGCGAAAAGAACCCCGGCGAGGGGAGUGAAAAAGAACCUGAAACCGUGUACGUACAAGCAGUGGGAGCACGCUUAGGCGUGUGACUGCGUACCUUUUGUAUAAUGGGUCAGCGACUUAUAUUCUGUAGCAAGGUUAACCGAAUAGGGGAGCCGAAGGGAAACCGAGUCUUAACUGGGCGUUAAGUUGCAGGGUAUAGACCCGAAACCCGGUGAUCUAGCCAUGGGCAGGUUGAAGGUUGGGUAACACUAACUGGAGGACCGAACCGACUAAUGUUGAAAAAUUAGCGGAUGACUUGUGGCUGGGGGUGAAAGGCCAAUCAAACCGGGAGAUAGCUGGUUCUCCCCGAAAGCUAUUUAGGUAGCGCCUCGUGAAUUCAUCUCCGGGGGUAGAGCACUGUUUCGGCAAGGGGGUCAUCCCGACUUACCAACCCGAUGCAAACUGCGAAUACCGGAGAAUGUUAUCACGGGAGACACACGGCGGGUGCUAACGUCCGUCGUGAAGAGGGAAACAACCCAGACCGCCAGCUAAGGUCCCAAAGUCAUGGUUAAGUGGGAAACGAUGUGGGAAGGCCCAGACAGCCAGGAUGUUGGCUUAGAAGCAGCCAUCAUUUAAAGAAAGCGUAAUAGCUCACUGGUCGAGUCGGCCUGCGCGGAAGAUGUAACGGGGCUAAACCAUGCACCGAAGCUGCGGCAGCGACNGUUGUUGGGUAGGGGAGCGUUCUGUAAGCCUGUGAAGGUGUACUGUGAGGUAUGCUGGAGGUAUCAGAAGUGCGAAUGCUGACAUAAGUAACGAUAAAGCGGGUGAAAAGCCCGCUCGCCGGAAGACCAAGGGUUCCUGUCCAACGUUAAUCGGGGCAGGGUGAGUCGACCCCUAAGGCGAGGCCGAAAGGCGUAGUCGAUGGGAAACAGGUUAAUAUUCCUGUACUUGGUGUUACUGCGAAGGGGGGACGGAGAAGGCUAUGUUGGCCGGGCGACGGUUGUCCCGGUUUAAGCGUGUAGGCUGGUUUUCCAGGCAAAUCCGGAAAAUCAAGGCUGAGGCGUGAUGACGAGGCACUACGGUGCUGAAGCAACAAAUGCCCUGCUUCCAGGAAAAGCCUCUAAGCAUCAGGUAACAUCAAAUCGUACCCCAAACCGACACAGGUGGUCAGGUAGAGAAUACCAAGGCGCUUGAGAGAACUCGGGUGAAGGAACUAGGCAAAAUGGUGCCGUAACUUCGGGAGAAGGCACGCUGAUAUGUAGGUGAAGNUGGAGCUGAAAUCAGUCGAAGAUACCAGCUGGCUGCAACUGUUUAUUAAAAACACAGCACUGUGCAAACACGAAAGUGGACGUAUACGGUGUGACGCCUGCCCGGUGCCGGAAGGUUAAUUGAUGGGGUUAGCGCAAGCGAAGCUCUUGAUCGAAGCCCCGGUAAACGGCGGCCGUAACUAUAACGGUCCUAAGGUAGCGAAAUUCCUUGUCGGGUAAGUUCCGACCUGCACGAAUGGCGUAAUGAUGGCCAGGCUGUCUCCACCCGAGACUCAGUGAAAUUGAACUCGCUGUGAAGAUGCAGUGUACCCGCGGCAAGACGGAAAGACCCCGUGAACCUUUACUAUAGCUUGACACUGAACAUUGAGCCUUGAUGUGUAGGAUAGGUGGGAGGCUUUGAAGUGUGGACGCCAGUCUGCAUGGAGCCGACCUUGAAAUACCACCCUUUAAUGUUUGAUGUUCUAACGUUGACCCGUAAUCCGGGUUGCGGACAGUGUCUGGUGGGUAGUUUGACUGGGGCGGUCUCCUCCUAAAGAGUAACGGAGGAGCACGAAGGUUGGCUAAUCCUGGUCGGACAUCAGGAGGUUAGUGCAAUGGCAUAAGCCAGCUUGACUGCGAGCGUGACGGCGCGAGCAGGUGCGAAAGCAGGUCAUAGUGAUCCGGUGGUUCUGAAUGGAAGGGCCAUCGCUCAACGGAUAAAAGGUACUCCGGGGAUAACAGGCUGAUACCGCCCAAGAGUUCAUAUCGACGGCGGUGUUUGGCACCUCGAUGUCGGCUCAUCACAUCCUGGGGCUGAAGUAGGUCCCAAGGGUAUGGCUGUUCGCCAUUUAAAGUGGUACGCGAGCUGGGUUUAGAACGUCGUGAGACAGUUCGGUCCCUAUCUGCCGUGGGCGCUGGAGAAUUGAGGGGGGCUGCUCCUAGUACGAGAGGACCGGAGUGGACGCAUCACUGGUGUUCGGGUUGUCAUGCCAAUGGCACUGCCCGGUAGCUAAAUGCGGAAGAGAUAAGUGCUGAAAGCAUCUAAGCACGAAACUUGCCCCGAGAUGAGUUCUCCCUGACUCCUUGAGAGUCCUGAAGGAACGUUGAAGACGACGACGUUGAUAGGCCGGGUGUGUAAGCGCAGCGAUGCGUUGAGCUAACCGGUACUAAUGAACCGUGAGGCUUAACCUU
rnacentral:rRNA from 1 species